AACGUAGGAGACAAACGUUAUCCGGAGUUACUGGGCGUAAAGGGCGUGCAGGUGGCUUGAUAAGUUCGGCGUGAAAUUUCCCGGCUUAACCGGGGGAUGUCGUCGGAGACUGUCGAGCUAGAGGGUGAUAGAGGCGUGUGGAAUUCCGGGUGUAGUGGUGAAAUGCGUAGAUAUCUGGAGGAACACCGGUGGCGAAGGCGGCAUCCUGGACCGAUACUGACGCUGAGGAGCGAAAGCCAGGGGAGCAAACGGG
rnacentral:rRNA from 1 species